rnacentral:rRNA from 1 species
AUUGAACGCUGGCGGCAUGCCUUACACAUGCAAGUCGAACGGCAGCACGGGGGCAACCCUGGUGGCGAGUGGCGAACGGGUGAGUAAUAUAUCGGAACGUACCCUGAGUGGGGGAUAACGUAGCGAAAGUUACGCUAAUACCGCAUACGAUCUACGGAUGAAAGUGGGGGCUCGCAAGACCUCAUGCUCGUGGAGCGGCCGAUAUCUGAUUAGCUAGUUGGUGGGGUAAAGGCCUACCAAGGCGACGAUCAGUAGCUGGUCUGAGAGGACGACCAGCCACACUGGGACUGAGACACGGCCCAGACUCCUACGGGAGGCAGCAGUGGGGAAUUUUGGACAAUGGGGGCAACCCUGAUCCAGCAAUGCCGCGUGAGUGAAGAAGGCCUUCGGGUUGUAAGGCUCUUUUGUCAGGGAAGAACACGGUGAAGGCGAAUACCCUUUGCUAAUGACGGUACCUGAAGAAUAAGCACCGGCUAACCUACGUGCCAGCAGCCGCGGUAAUACGUAGGGUGCAAGCGUUAAUCGGAAUUACUGGGCGUAAAGCGUGCGCAGGCGG